GAUCAACGCUGGCGGCGUGCUUAACACAUGCAAGUCGAACGAAGUUUUUCUUUCGGGAGGAACUUAGAGGCGGACGGGUGAGUAACGCGUGGGUAACCUGCCCUGUACAGGGGGACAACAGCUGGAAACGGCUGCUAAUACCGCAUAAGCCCUUAGCACUGCAUGGUGCAUAGGGAAAAGGAGCAAUCCGGUACAGGAUGGACCCGCGUCUGAUUAGCCAGUUGGCAGGGUAACGGCCUACCAAAGCGACGAUCAGUAGCCGAUCUGAGAGGAUGUACGGCCACAUUGGGACUGAGACACGGCCCAGACUCCUACGGGAGGCAGCAGUGGGGAAUAUUGCACAAUGGAGGAAACUCUGAUGCAGCGACGCCGCGUGAGUGAAGAAGUAUUUCGGUAUGAAAAGCUCUAUCAGCAGGAAAGAAAAUGACGGUACCUGACUAAGAAGCACCGGCUAAAUACGUG
rnacentral:rRNA from 1 species